rnacentral:ncRNA from 1 species
CUUUUGGGGUGCCGUAAAGGCUGAGAUUAUACCCGUUGAACCUGAUGCCGGUAAUGCGGUCGAAGGGAAAGAAAU